rnacentral:rRNA from 1 species
AGUCUGGUGCCAGCAGCCGCGGUAAUUCCAGCUCCAAUAGCGUAUAUUAAAUUUGUUGCAGUUAAAAAGCUCGUAGUUGGAUUUCGGAGUGUGAGAGAGUGUUGGUCCGGCAAAAUGCUGUGAUCUGCUCUUCAUCUCCUACCUUUCAAACGCACGCCCAUAGCCUUAACUGGUUGUGGAGUCGGGCUUUGGAUCGUUUACUUUGAAAAAAUUAGAGUGUUUAAAGCAGGCGUAACCAGCCUCUGAAUACCGCAGCAUGGAUAAUAAAAUAGGACUUUGGGCCUAUUUUGUUGGUUUUUAGGUCUGAAGUAAUGAUUAAAAGGGAUAGUUGGGGGUAUUAGUAUUUAGUUGUCAGAGGUGAAAUUCUAAGAUUUACUAAAGACUAACUACUGCGAAAGCAUUUACCAAGGAUGUUUUCAUUAAUCAAGAACGAAAGUUGGGGGAUCGAAGAUGAUCAGAUACCGUCGUAGUCCUAACCUUAAACUAUGCCGACCAGGGAUUCGGAGAAGUUAAAUGGAUGACUCUCCGGGCACCUUGUGAGAAAUCAUAAGUAUUUGGGUUCCGGGGGGAGUAUGGUCGCAAGGCUGAAACUUAAAGGAAUUGACGGAAGGGCACCACCAGGAGUGGAACCUGCGGCUUAAUUUGACACAACACGGGAAAACUCACCUGGUCCAGACACAGGAAGGAUUGACAGAUUGAUAGCUCUUUCUUGAUUCUGUGGGUGGUGGUGCAUGGCCGUUUCUAGUUGGUGGAGCGAUUUGUCUGGUUAAUUCCGUUAACGAACGAGACCUUAACCUAUUAAAUAGUCGUGCGAAGUGUGCCGAUUUUUAUCGGUAACUGCUUUGCAAGAGACUUCUUAGAGGGACUAUUCGAACCUAAGCGAAUGGAAGUUUGAGGCCAAAACAGGUCUGUGAUGCCCUUCGAUGUCCUGGGCUGCACGCGCGUUACACUGAUGCAUUCAACGAGUUUUUUCCUUGCCCGGUAGGGUUGGGUAAACUUUUCAAAGUGCAUCGUGCUGGGGAUAGAUGUUUGUAAUUAUCCAUCUUGAACGAGGAAUUCCUAGUAAGUGCAUGUCAUCAACAUGCGCUGAUUACGUCCCUGCCCUUUGUACACACCGCCCGUCGCUCCUACCGAUUGGAUGGUCCGGCAAGAACUUCGGAUGCCUUGGAUCUCGGUGGAUGUAAUAGUCCGCUGAACCAUUGGCA